rnacentral:miRNA from 10 species
UCAUCAUCAGUCUUGCGUCUGC